ACCUAGGGCCGCCUGGCUGCUCUUUUGCAGGGUUCUAUUUGAGUCUUCCGGAGAAGGUCAACUGCCCGCCUGAGUUUCUGCUGUCUAUAUCAAAGGCUGUGUGUCAUGAAGGGAAACGCUGCUGGGCUGUGAGUCUGAAGGCCUGGGUAGUCCAGGCUUGGCCAGUAACUCACAAGCACCAAAGUGACACUUGAGAACAAACCAUGUCAUGUCAGUCCUUUAAACCAAACCUUGCACUGAGGAUGGAAUCCUUGCAGGUUAGAUGGCCUCCCUGGGUCUGCACCUGCCUCUUAGGUCUCAUCUUCCUCUCUCCCACCUGUUUCCCCACUGCAGCCGUCCCUUCUAAUCCUCAGUCUUGUCAAGCUCUUUCCUGCCUCACGGCCUUGCACUCUGUGUUUCUCAGCAUGGAUUCUGCUUCCCAGAGCUUUGCAUGGUAGGUCCUUCCUGCUGCUCAGCUGACACCUCCUUGACCAUGCAAUUAGAAAUAGGUAUGCAUCCUGCAUCCUGCCCUAGGCAUCUCCGACUCUAGCAGGCUGCUUUGGAAGCGUAUCACUAUUUGAAAUGAGCCUGAUUGUGUGUUGAUCCUUUAUUGCCUCCCGCCCACCUCCAACUUGCAACAAUAAGCACCAAAAAGCCAGGACUUGCCGUGCUUGUCCACCACAGAUUCCCCAGUGUGUUGUGUACAAUAGGAGCUCAUAACUAUUGUGAAAUCAAUGAACAUGUGAAUCAGCAAAUGAAUGAACAAACCCAGCCUCCCUGUUCCUCUAAGUGCUCAUCUGUGAAGUGGAGUGAUGAGAUGAUGUCUCAGGGACCUUUCAGAUGGAGCCGCCGUGACUACAGCAUGAGGCUGGCAUCUUGUUUUUGCACCCCUCUCAGAUUGCCGUGCAGACUUGGGUACAGUGAGUUAUUUCACUUGCCUGAGACUUCUUCCUUCAUCUGUUAAUGUGAACUGCCCAGAAGUUCUCCUCCAAGAUCUUUUCCACCUUGAAUGUUCUAGCUAUUAAAGUUACAGAUAAGGAAAAGCAGAAAUAAUAAUUGUGCCACUCAUUUCCACGAAAAUAAUGAUCAAGAACCCCAUGGCUGAAUCAGUAUUUUUAUAAUUUACAUAAUAGCUAAACUCUCCUAUAUGCCAAAUGCAGUGCUAGGUGCUUUAUACUCUCUUGUUCUAGCUCCACAGCAAUGCUUUGAGGUAGAUGAUAUCAUAAUCCCCAUUUUAUAGAUGGGCAAAGUGAAGUCCAGGAAGGUUAAAUUACUUGCCCAAGGACUCGCAGCUGUUAGGGGCAGAGCCCAGGGCUAGUGGCUCCAGAGCUGAUUUCCCUUAAGGGUAGUCGUGUUUCAUCUUGCCAACAUUUUAUUGCUGUAUUGAAGUAGUAUAACUACUAGAGUUUAUUUCAAAAUUAAUUUAAUUUUCCUCAGUUCUACCUCUGUGACUAGAAGUGUUCUUUUAUUUAAUUAAAAACAGAGGCUUGGAGGUGCUUUGGUUUUCAGCCUGUCACUUUUAGAACUAUCUUGGGUAGUGAAAUCUUUGGAAACAGGAGCCGUCAAACCUUUUGUAGGGGCAAAGGGAAAAUUGCUCUUUCACCCUCUGAAGGUUCACUGAAAACUCACAAAAGGCAGAUUUAUUAGAGAGAGAACAUAUAAAUUUACUUAAUGUAUACUCACAGGAGCCUUCAGAAUGAAUACCCAAAGAUACAGGGGAAAUAGUCCAAUUUUAUGCUUAGGUUCUACAAAGCAUGGGCAGCUGUGUAGAAAUAUGAUUGGGCAAAAUCUAAUGCUAAUAGAUGGAGUGGGGAAACCCAGCAAGGCCUGUCUGUCUAGAUUCUUCUUGGCCCUUCCGAGCAGCAUUCCUGCCUCCUGGGUGUGGGGCAGAGCCCUCUCUGUAACGGAGUUUCUACAGUCAAACAAGGUAGGCCAGAUAAUUUAUUUAUGGCCAGCUUCACACAGAAAGGAAGAGGGAAAAUUGGAGUAAUUUGUAGGUUUUAUGGCUGGCCUUGGAAAAAAAGGGUUCUGAUUUCUAUGGCCCACCUGGGGGCAAAGGGAUUCUAGUUUCUGUGGCUGACCUUAGGGGAAAUAGGAUUGAGGGACCAGAGAGCAGGAGAAGGUCAAAGAAAAACUUUUGCUUCCGGAGCCUUUACUUUGUAGUGUUUUUGAGCCCCAACACCUUACAAUACAACACCUUUCAGCUACCUGGAGUGGCUGGGGCAGUUAAUGGACUGAGAAAUUAAAUGAUCUGGUCAACUUAGAGCAUCACUUUUUCUAGUUUUCCCUAAAUGUGAAAAACGAUAGCAUACACCUAUUACUACAACUGAAUUGCCUGUAAUUUAAUCUUUAAUCUUGCAUUAUUGUUUGUUUGUUUGUUUUGAGGCGGAGUUUUGCUCUUGUUACCCAGGCUGGAGUGCAAUGGCACGAUCUCGGCUCACCGCAACCUCCGCCUCCUGGGUUCAGGCAAUUCUCCUGCCUCAGCCUCCUGAGCAGCUGGAAUUACAGGCACGCGCCACCAUGCCCAGCUAAUUUUUUGUAUUUUUAGUAGAGACGGGGUUUCACCAUGUUGACCAGGAUGGUCUCAAUCUCUUGACCUCGUGAUCCACCCACCUCGGCCUCCCAAAGUGCUGGGAUUACAGGCUUGAGCAACCGCGCCCGGCAAUCUUGUAUUAUUGUUUAUAAGAUUUUAGUAUCUAGCGUGGACUCAGAUUUAUCAUUAUCAAUUCCAAUUUUCACAUACUACCAAAAAAUUUCUGGCUUGUUUUGAGGUUUCUGUGCCCUGUAAUAAAGAGUUUAUUUUAUUGUCAAACCAGUCUUAAUUCUACGAAGAUGGCCAGUGAAUUUAUUUUGAUGUAGUGUUGAUUAUGUCCACAAGGUGGAGACAUUGAAACACUCUAACAUGAAGCUUAGUGAUAGCCAAGUGAGAAGAAACUUCUGGUUUCUUUAACCAUCCAAACCAGAGCCUUUACCUUUGCUUAAAAGCACUAAUGUUUACAUUUCAGUUCCAGCUUUGCCAAGCGUACGUUUUAACAUGUGCGAUAGCACUUAGAGCAAGUGUAGAUAAAAAGUUAAGAAAUGUAAGCAAAGCACCCAAUUACUGAAACUGGAGAACUUUGGUCUGGUUUUCUUUUUGUUCCUUUUAAUGUUGAAAUUUACCCUCAGCGGUCUCUCCUUGCCGCGGUGCGCCAGAGCAGAGUUUGAGUCUGAGGCGGAGGGAGUCAUGGCAGGACAGGCAUUUAGAAGGUUUCUCCCACUCUUUGAAUCGAGUAUUGGUUGAAAGGAGUGCAGCUGAAACUGUAACCAAAGGAGGCAUUAUGCUUCCAGCAAAAUCUCAAGGAAAAGUAUUUCAAGCAACCGUAGUCGCUGUUGGAUCGGGUUCUAAAGGAAAGGGUGGAGAGAUUCAACCAGUUAGCGUGAAAGUUGGAGAUAAAGUUCUUCUCCCAGAAUAUGGAGGCACCAAAGUAGUUCUAGAUGACAAGGAUUAUUUCUUAUUUAGAGACGGUGACAUUCUUGGAAAGUACAUAGACUGAAAUAAGUCACUAUUGAAAUGGCAUCAACGUGAAGCUGCCCGUUCCACUGAAGUUCUGAAAUCUUUCAUCAUGUAAAUAAUUUCCAUCCCUCUCUUUUAUAAUAAACUAAUGAUAACUGAUGACAUUUAGAGUCUCCAAAAUUGUUUCCUUGUACUGUUAUAAACAUUUCC